rnacentral:rRNA from 1 species
AGUGAACGCUGGCGGUAGGCCUAACACAUGCAAGUCGAACGGCAGCACAGUAAGAGCUUGCUCUUACUGGUGGCGAGUGGCGGACGGGUGAGGCAUACAUCGGAAUCUACUUUUUCGUGGGGGAUAACGUAGGGAAACUUACGCUAAUACCGCAUACGACCUACGGGUGAAAGCAGGGGAUCUUCGGACCUUUCGCGAUUGAAUGAGCCGAUGUCGGAUUAGCUAGUUGGCGGGGUAAAGGCCCACCAAGGCGACGAUCCGUAGCUGGUCUGAGAGGAUGAUCAGCCACACUGGAACUGAGACACGGUCCAGACUCCUACGGGAGGCAGCAGUGGGGAAUAUUGGACAAUGGGCGAAAGCCUGACGCAGCCAUACCGCGUGGGUGAAGAAGGCCUUCGGGUUGUAAAGCCCUUUUGUUGGGAAAGAAAAGCAGCAGGAUAAUACCCCGCUGUUCUGACGGUACCCAAAGAAUAAGCACCGGCUAACUUCGUG